GAUUUCAAGUCUUUAUGAAUACUUAUUUGAGCCAAUCCUGUGAUUAGAGCCAAUGUCUCUGCCAUAGUGCCCCUGAGGUAGCCAAUGUCUUUAAAAGUCUCCGACAGCAGAACAACCAGUCGAGACAGGCAUCUUUAGUCGAGCUAUGUCUUUAUGUGUCUCUAACAGCAGAACAACCAGUCGAGACAGGCAUCUUCAGUAGAACUACGUCUUUAAACGUCUCAAGCAGCUGUAUGACCUUUCUGCCAAAGCAGUCAAGACAAGAAUCGUCAGUAGAAGUUCAUUUCUAUUGUGAAUGCUUUGGGCACAUGUCCACUGUGUUAGGAUGGUGCACAGGUCAGAAUCAGUUAAUUUCUAUUGUGAAUGUUUGGGCACAUGUCCACUGUGUUAGGAUGGUGCACAGGUCAGAAUCAGUUCCCCUGCGGCAUCAUUAUGUAGCCCCGCCAGCUCGUUCCACCAGGACAUCUACGCCACAGAUGCUCUCAUGUACCACCUUCACUAUUACAUUUGAAAUAGUUCCGUACAGGACUCAGACAUUUUCUUCUUGACGUAUCUGACUUCUCUUGAAAAUAAGGUCUACUUCCAAAACUUAGCGUCCUGACAUGCUCUAUAUCGCCGUCUUCAGGUUGUCCCCUGUAACUACACACAAUUAUGAGAGUGUGACCCCCUUGAAUGGUCCGCCGUCUUGAAAUUAUAACGACAAUUAUUUUUUGUAUACAUUUUUUUUUUUAAUGUCUAUUAUCAUUCGUAUUUUUAUUUAGUUUAUUUUCUUUCAGUUUACAAAAAAUGUCUUAGUUUUAGUUCCAGUUUCCAAUAAUAGCCCUGCUGUAUAGAGUACCACACACACACACACACACACACACACACACACACACACACACACACGCGUACAUACAAACUCACUCACUCCCUGCUGUAUAGAGUACCAUCGUCUGCCUUAUGUGACUUGACAAAUACAACACACAGAUUUGUUGUUGAGAUUUUUUUCUUUAACUUAUAACCUGACACUCAAUAUUUUAGAAAAGUCAGUUUCAGCUUGUAGUUGUAUUUGCUUGCAUGAGUUGCAUUUUAACACGUAAGAAUUUGCUUGUAACCAAUUUUUUUUUCAUUUGUUUUUAAUACCAGCUUAAAUGCUGACGCUUCAACAGUUUCGCCAAAACAAGUCCUCUGACUCUAUUAGCUACUGAGAUUUCUGACUGUCCUGAUAUAGUGAUGGUCACUAUUAAGGUAACCAGUAACCAGGGCAGCUCCUUCUCAGAGCUCACCAGAGCGAAGUAACAGGCAACAUCUCCAACUCUUCUAUUUUCUAUUUUCUAAUUUCCUGACACUCAUUCAGUUUACAAAGCUGUGGACUAUAAGCAAUUCGAUGUUUUUUGGUUAGAUUAUCACAGGUGACGCCACAGCUGUGCCGAUCUCUUGCCCCUCACUCUUCCUGGUUGUGCCUGAGACUAUGCAUAGUGCUUCUGACGUCCGUGAUGUACUCCAUUGUACAGGCUCCUCAUGCUUUUAAAGAACAGUUUUGCAAUGUACGUAAAUACAAAAAUCCCUGAAUAAUUUAAUUUGAAUAUAUGACGUCAACGUUGCAAAUGUCUUCAGCCAAAAUCAUUAAAGUAAUCAUAAAGAAAUGGCUUGUUGCUAUGCAACAAAAUGACAUCAACCAAGUAAAUGCAAAAGCAAACACAAGGGAGUAGCGGUGCUGAUGUGAGAACAUGCCGUUAUGUGAUAUAACAGCACAGAACUCUUCUCAUCCAAUGAGACUGAUGUGAGAACAUGCCGUUAUGUGAUAUAACAGCACGAAACUCUUCUCAUCCAAUGGGUGUGGGUUAGGACAGCUCUGAAACAGCACAAACAAUCACCACAGUGCUCCAUUAAAUGCUCAAAUUCCUUUUUAUCAUGGAAGCAUCACAAUAAUGGCAAACUAAGAUGUGUUUUGUAUAGCCUUGUGAAAUGUUAUAUAAUUACAAAAGACUGAUCUGAGAACAACAGUAGCUCUAUCGAAGUAUUUAACAGAUCAAUAUACCUGAUUACUUACGAUCAAUACCUGAUCAACCAUAUACCUGAUUACUUACGAUGAAUACUUGUGAGAUCACAUUAGGAUUGUUGGAUUCCUUCAAAACCUGAAAUUUCACAACUUGGUGCUAUUUUUCCAUCGUAACCUAUGGUGCUGUACAUACAGGACAACAACCCGCCGUCCUACUAACAUCACACUAAACACAGUGUCAAAGUUCUAUUUUUCUGCUACACACCCUUCCCUUUGGAGGGCUUGAGAUCUGGAGAGGGCACAGGUCAAAGGUCGAGGCAUAUUAAUCCCUCCCGCAUCGUCCGUGGAAAGCUGCAUGAGCCUAAACUAUAACACAACCACUUAACUCAAAAGAGGAGGGGACUUUGAAGAUCAGUAUGUAAAUGCUAACCAAACCCUAUAACCCCCAGUUAUCACUAAGCUAAAUAAUAGAGUAACGUUUUAAGGUGUGAAGAUAGAGUGUGUGGUCUGUUUAAGCCACACGACACCCUCUCUAAUAAUAAAACAAGAUGAUCUCUGAAGUGCGUUUGAAUCCUUUACGUUAGCUAUUCAUUCAUGUUCCACGUUAUCUGUGCGUUUGAAUCCUUUACGCUAGCUAUUCAUUUAUGUUCUACGUUAUCUGUGCGUUUGAUUCCUUUACGCUAGCUAUUCAUUCAUGUUCCACGUUAUCUGUGCGUUAUAUCUGUUCUACGUUAUCUGUGCGUUUGAAACCCUUUACGCUAGCUAUUCAUUUAUGUUUUUGUUAUCUGUGCGUGUGAAUCCUUAGCUAUUCAUUCAUGUUCUACGUAAUCUGUGCGUUUGAAUCCUUUACGCUAGCUAUUCAUUUAUGUUUUACGUUAUCUGUGCGUUAUAUCUAUUCUACGUUAUCUGUGCGUUUGAAUCCUUUACGCUAGCUAUUCAUUAAUGUUCUACGUUAUCUGUGCGUUUCAAUCCUUUACGCUAGCUAUUCAUUUAUGUUUUACGUUAUCUGUGCGUUUGAAUCCUUUACGCUAGCUAGUCAUUCAUGUUUUACGUUAUCUGUGCGUUUGAAUCCUUUACGCUAUUAAUUUAUGUUCUAUGUUAUCUGUGCGUUUGAAUCCUUUACGCUAUUCAUUUAUGUUCUACGAUAUCUGUGCGUUUGAAUCCCUUUACGCUAGCUAUUCAUUCAUGUUUUACGUUAUCUGUGCGUUUCAAUCCUUUACGCUAGCUAUUCAAUCAUGUUCCACGUUAUCUGUAUUCUCAGCUGUAUUUGGAUAUCUUCGACUGGUUAAGUUCAUAUUAAGCCUAGUCUAGGCCUGCUCUUUAACUCGAGGGGGAAAUAUAUGUGGCGAAAUGUACGUACUAAAAGAGUUUAGAGUCACAAAACAUUAAAUCCUUUAAUCAUGUAUGAAGCUUUACAAUCAUGAAAAAAAUACCAAAUUACCAAAAUAUUACCAAAAGUCAAAAUCGAAGUCGUCCAAACUGAUUCCAGGGGUUAGAGAAGACUCAGCGUUACUUCCAAAAAAGCGUUGGAAAUACAUGUGAAUGUUUUUAGCCAAGAAAAACUCAAAUACACUCAUAAAUACAGUGACCUCAACAUCACAUCAAUGCAACAUUCAAUCUUCAUUUUUAUUUAAAAUGUAUAUUAUUCAGAUUGAUAUAUUUAGAGUUUCAUAGGGUUUUAUAUAAGCACACAAACAUAUAUAUAUGCCCAAUCCACCAAUAACAGAUCGUCCUGCAGGCUGACUGGUUCAUUCAAAUAAGAAUCUUUCAAUCUUCUUUAAACAUGACAAACAUCAACAAUCACACAAAAACUGCAAUUGAAGUAAUAUAGACAAUAAAGCUUCAACGUUACAAUUAUCCUAGAAGAACUGAGACGGAAACAACUGAAAGAAUGUAUUUAAUGCUAAAUACACACGUUUGUUACAAUAAAUUAAUAAAUCAAAAUGCUGUAACUCAUUUAUCCAACCCUGUUACCAUGUCCAGCAACGGAAAGUAGAAUGUAACAUAACCGUAUAUGACCGAUUAGAAUUGUAUAUUUUAACGUUAUAUUGUUGAUAGAUUGGAACGUUCGAACAGGGGUGCUACGAACACACAAAGAGAGAUACCAUUGGUCUGUGUUGAUCCAUUUUGAUUAUUAAUCGAUCACGGAGACCACUGGUCUGUGUUGAUUCAUUUUGAUUAUUAAUCGAUCACGGAGACCAUUGGUCUGUGUUGAUUAUUAAUCGAUCGUGGAGACCAUUGGUCUGUGUUGAUUCAUUUUGAUUAUUAAUCGAUCAUGGAGACCAUUGGUCUGUGUUGAUUCAUUUUGAUUAUUAAUCGAUCACGGAGACCAUUGGUCUGUGUUGUCACGGAGACCAUUGGUCUGUGUUGAUUCAUUUUGAUUAUUAAUCGAUCACGGAGACUGGUGAAUAGGUGCUGGGGGCGUUUAGCUUUCACCUGUUCAUCCAUCUCUCGUGUGGGCUAUGUGCAUUCAAAUUGUAUUCAUUUGAAUUUUAUUUAUUUGAUUAAUAUAAUUCAGGCCUAAUACUCUCCUUGAAAAAAUAUAAUUACUGACCCUGUUCCAAUCUCUCAAUAUGAAUGCAACCAUUAUAAGACAUAGUGCAUGGCUUAUGAUAAUUACGCCACAAUUAUGAAUUCAUUUAAAAACAUGAUGGUCCCUUUUGGUUGAGACAGAAAUGCUUCUGAUACUCUUAUGACUGAUCAAUGCUUCUGAUCAAUGUUGCCUCAUUAUUCUUGCAUUUUUUUUAUUACAGUUUUUAUACGUUUUUUGUUUGACAAUGUUGUUAUUGUACAUCGCAGUCUUGAAAACUGUUUCUGCCAUUAAUAUUUAUGUUUACAUAAUGUUCUGUCAUCAGUUUGUGUUUUAUACAUUUGGAAUAAUUUUUUAUUGGAUACGAGCUGAUUAAAUGUAGUUUUGUCAUAUUUUCAUUCACUGCAUUAAAGAGGAAUUCUUUACAAACCGACCACUUGUCCAUUUGUGACCAUUUGUCAUUAAUUAUACAGAGCAAGCCUGGCCAGAGUACCCAUGUGAAUGUGAUUGUGUAUGUGAUAGAAUUAUGUCUCACACACACACACACACUGCUCCCUCUCUCUCAUCUACUCUUGUCUCUCUGUCUUCAACGUUGCAUUCUUUCUGUUCAUCUCCAUCAGCUCUUCCCUUCCAAAAGCUGAACUGUCACUGAUGCAGUCUGUUCAUUCUGGUCUGUGUCGGUGGCCAAGGCAAACACAUGUGUGAUAUAUCUGGCGUGAUGUGUGUGUGUGUGUGUGUGUGUGUGCUCGCUGGCCUUGCUGUCUGGUGGCAGAACUACUGUGAUUAAUGGUCACCAGGUCACAUGACUCUGCAGGUGGAUAUACGUAUCAAGCAAGCUGUUUUAAUACUGUUGUUCUGCCCAUACAAUGCUACCUAUGUCGAAAGGUGUGUGUGUGUGUGUGUGUGUGUGUGUUUGUAUAGCAUGUAGCCUACAUCCACCCACCUAUCAUAUAUGAGAGCUUACAGCUUCCAAUCAAGACAGAUUUAGCAGCCAUAUUUCUGGGUCAGCGUAACCUGCUGUUGUAAUAUUUGGACAUAGGCUACUUACAUGUACAUUUCAAUUAGUUGACUUGCAGGUGAUAACAUUGUUUUUAAAUCUGAGCCUGUAACACAUGUGAAACACCAUGUAGGGCCUGUGGACAGCACUGGGAAGUCAACCAGCCUGUAGACUUGUCUGUGUGUGUGUGUGUGUGUGUGUGUGUGCUGAACAGCCUGUAGACGUGUCUGCCUGGGAUGAACAUGAAUGUUGCUGAACAGCCUGUCGGCCCCAUGGGAUCUGUAGUCCUAGGGUUAGGCAUCAUGGGAUCUGUAGUCCUAGGGUUAGGCAUCAUGGGAUCUGUAGUCCUAGGGUUAGGCAUCAUGGGAUCUGUAGUCCUAGGGUUAGGCAUCAUUUCAUUUCAAGUCUUAAUUGAAAAUAAUCGGUUUGCAAACAGCAAGGCAGUCAUUUCCGUGUGUGUUAUUCCACCAUGUUGAAGUAGUCUAAUUGCUUGCCAAAGAAACAGUUCCCUUGCCCAAAUGGCUGUUGUCCUGUCGUUCUAAAUAACUGCCACAUUACCAGAGUUGACAAGAAGACAAAUAGCCACAGGUGAGUCACCCAUUGUUCUUAAAGUCAAAAUCUAGUCAUGUUUAACACACCUACACAUCU
ensembl:lncRNA